ACGGGGCGCAGCAGGCGCGAAACCUCCACAAUGUACGAGAGUGCGAUGGGCGGGAUCCCAAGUGCUAUUCUUAACGGGAUAGCUUUUCUUAAGUGUAAUAAAGCUUUUGGAAUAAGAGCUGGGCAAGACCGGUGCCAGCCGCCGCGGUAAU
rnacentral:rRNA from 1 species